CAGCAGCCGCGGGAAUACGUAGGGUGCAAGCGUUAAUCGGAAUUACUGGGCGUAAAGCGUGCGCAGGCGGUUCGCUAAGACAGAUGUGAAAUCCCCGGGCUUAACCUGGGAACUGCAUUUGUGACUGGCGGGCUAGAGUAUGGCAGAGGGGGGUAGAAUUCCACGUGUAGCAGUGAAAUGCGUAGAGAUGUGGAGGAAUACCGAUGGCGAAGGCAGCCCCCUGGGCCAAUACUGACGCUCAUGCACGAAAGCGUGGGGAGCAAACAGGAUUAGAUACCCGCGUAGUCCCUGUCUCUUAUAU
rnacentral:rRNA from 1 species